CCUACGGGUGGCAGCAGUGGGGAAUAUUGGACAAUGGGGGGAACACUGAUGCAGCGAAGCCGCGUGAGGGAAGAAGUAAUUCGUUAUGUAAAGCUCUAUCAGCAGGGGAGAAAAUGACGGUACCUGAGUCAGAAGCCCCGGCUCACUACAGGCCAGCAGCCGCGGUAACACGUGGGGGGCAAGCGUUAUCCGGAUUUACUGGGUGUUAAGGGUGCGUAUACGGCAGUGCAAGUCUGGAGGGGAAGGCGGGGGCUCAACCCCCGGACUGCUCUGGAAACUGCACGGCUGGAGUGGAGGAGAGGUAAGUGGAAUUCCUGGUGUAGCGGUGAAAUGCGUAGAUAUUGGGAGGAACUCCAGUGGCGAAGGCGGCUUACUGGACUGUAACUGACGUUGAGGCUCGAAAGCGUGGGGAGCGAACAGGAUUAGAUACCCCUGUAGUC
rnacentral:rRNA from 1 species